GUGGUGUGGGUGGUGGUGGGGAGGGGCCCAAAUUAAAAUUCAUUAAUUAAUAAUAAUAAAUUUUAAAAAAUGAUGAGAAGUUAUUCAUCCUUACUCAUAAUGAUGUGAGUUUCAUUCUCCAUUAUUAAAGGAGAAAUUAUUCUUUCGAGUGAUGGUGUAGGAUUUUUUAUAAUUUGCCAAAAUUUAAAAUAAGAUAAAUUUAUUAAAAUAUGUGGCACAUGUUCAAUAUUGGCACCUUCUAUUUUCAGGUAAAGAAAAUUACUAAAAGAAAUAAAAUUUUGCUUUUUUCUUAGUAGCCAAAGAGUUUGUUUUGGGUUUGAUUAGGUUUCUGCAUUACCAUCAAUUUAUGUUUGGAAUUUGAGGUUAUUUGUUUGCUUUUAAUGGUCUCUUAGGUCCUAGUAUCCGACUUUCGGGAUUAAAAAAAUUGUGAUUUACCAAAUAAAAGCUUCGGUGCUUAUUAUUCUAAGAGUCUAUUUGGCAUUACAAUUGAAGCUGUUAUAGAGAAAAGCACCACAUUUUAAUAUGUUAGUUAGAGGCUAUUAAAAAUUAAUUUAAAGUUAA
rnacentral:misc_RNA from 1 species